AAACUAUGAUGCGGGCACUUCCUAAGUAAGUCCUUGAAUCUCUCCCAAGCUUCAUACAUACUCUCUUGGUCAUGAUGGACAAAGGUCAUUAUCUCAUUGCGCAGCUC
rfam:Jatropha curcas cultivar GZQX0401 scaffold480_9, whole genome shotgun sequence.